rnacentral:rRNA from 1 species
GUGAACGCUAGCGGUGCGCCUAACACAUGCAAGUCGAGCGCCCAGCACUGUUUCGAUCCAUGGGAAUUUUCCCCCGGUCGGCAUGGUGCUGGGAGCGGCGGACGGCUGCGUAACACGUUGGAACCUGCCCCAGACUCAGGGAUACCCCCGCGAAAGCGGGGUUAAUACCGGAUGCCCCCGCAAGGGGAAAGCUUUUGCGGUCUGGGAGGGGCCUGCGGCCUAUCAGCUAGUUGGUAAGGUAACGGCUUACCAAGGCUAUGACGGGUAGCUGGUUUGAGAGAACGACCAGCCAGAAUGGGACUGAGACACGGCCCAUACUCCUACGGGAGGCAGCAGUGAGGAAUCUUCCGCAAUGGGGGAAACCCUGACGGAGCGACACCGCGUGGAGGAUGAAACCAUUUUUUGGCGUAAACUCCUGUUCUGAGGGAACAAAUUUUUGAGUGUACCUCAGGAGAAAGCACCGGCUAAUUCCGU